rnacentral:rRNA from 1 species
UACGAAGGGGGCUAGCGUUGCUCGGAAUUACUGGGCGUAAAGCGCACGUAGGCGGCUUUCUAAGUCGGGGGUGAAAUCCUGGAGCUCAACUCCAGAACUGCCUUCGAUACUGGAGAGCUCGAGUCCGGGAGAGGUGAGUGGAACUGCGAGUGUAGAGGUGAAAUGCGUAGAUAUUGGGAGGAACACCAGUGGCGAAGGCGGCUACCUGGACCGGUUCUGACGCUGAGGCGCGAAAGCGUGGGUAGCAAACAGG